AACGAACGCUGGCGGCAUGCCUAACACAUGCAAGUCGAACGAGACCUUCGGGUCUAGUGGCGCACGGGUGCGUAACGCGUGGGAACCUGCCCUUAGGCUCGGCAUAACUCCCCGAAAGGGGUGCUAAUACCUGAUAUUGUCUUCGGACCAAAGAUUUCUCGCCUUUGGAUGGGCCCGCGUUGGAUUAGCUAGUUGGUAGGGGAAAAGCCUAUCAAGGCUACGUUCCAUAGCUGGCCUGAGAGGAUGAUCAGCCACACUGGUCCUGAGACACGGCCCAGACUCCUACGGGAGGCAGCAGUGGGGAAUAUAGGACAAUGGGCGAAAGCCUGAUCCAGCAAUGCCGCGUGAGUGAUGAAGGCCUUAGGGUUGUAAAGCUCUUUUACCCGGGAUGAUAAUGACAGUACCGGGAGAAUAAGCUCCGGCUAACUCCGUG
rnacentral:rRNA from 1 species